CAUGGGUAUCCUUGUGUUCAGAAUUGCAAAGAUGAUUGUGCCAAAACGAAAUAUAUUGAAGUUGUAAAAAGGAGAUUCAUAAGCGAACUUACUCGAAAUGAAGGAGAUUACGAACGCGAAAGCCAUUUGAUUAAAGUAGAAAUCUAUCUUGAAGAUUCUGAAGUUGUAACAUUCCGUCAUCGCCCUCAAUAUCUG